GAACGCACUCUCGUUUAGAUUGAAGGCAGCUUGCUCCUCAUUGAUAAACAUUUGAGACGAGUGGCGGGACGGGUGAGUAACACGUGGGGAAA
rnacentral:rRNA from 1 species